AAAAGAUGUGGGAGUCCUCUGAGACAUCCAUGAUGACCACAACAUUGCGAGUCUGAGGUCCACAUCAUAAUCUAUGCACUGCAUGCUGGGAUCCUGGUGAGAGAUGUUAGGAAUAGUCUACUUUGAAAACAGUGAGUAAAUGUAGAUUAAAGAAAAAUUUGGAAAUCGUGUCUAUUAAAACAUAGUCAUAUAGGAAGAGUGCUAAUCAUCUUGACCGGGUAGUAUCUGAGUCAGAAACGAUGACAGAGGAAUCCCCAUCAGCCAUGGAAAAUCAUUGUCUAUGUUCCUGGUGACGUCACAGUCAUGGCGGUUUGAUGUGUCAGGAAGAGCCAAUCCAAGUGGAUUGAUAGCUCAAGCAAGGGAUUGGAUAGAGGAGAAGUGAUCAAGGCAGAUAGCUGUAAAUUAUGGAUGAGUGAAGAGAAAGUUAAUCUUUUUGUCAUUUUUUUUCUGCAUUUUACUCUCAGAAUAGAUACCUCCAAGGUGAUCUCCAAGUUCUUCCUCAGUCUUGAGGUUUGGGAUUCCUGGUUUGUGUCAGUAGAAUUGUGAGAGUGAUACAUACCUCCAAGGUGAUUUCAGAGUUCUUCCUCAGUCUUGAGAUUUGGGAUUCCCGGUUUGUGUCAGUAGAAUUGCGAGAGUAAUAGAUACCUCCAAGGUGAUCUCCAAGUUCUUCCUCAGUCUUGAGGUUUGGGAUUCCCGGUUUUUGUCAGUAGAAUUGUGAGAGUAAUAGAUACCUCCAAGGUGAUCUCCAAGUUCUUCCUCAGUCUUGAGGUUUGGGAUACCCGGUUUGUGUCAGCAGAA
rnacentral:lncRNA from 1 species